rnacentral:rRNA from 1 species
GACGGACGCUGGCGGCGUGCUUAACACAUGCAAGUCGAACGGAAAGGCCCUGCUUUUGUGGGGUGCUCGAGUGGCGAACGGGUGAGUAACACGUGAGUAACCUGCCCUUGACUUUGGGAUAACUUCAGGAAACUGGGGCUAAUACCGGAUAGGAGCUCCUGCUGCAUGGUGGGGGUUGGAAAGUUUCGGCGGUUGGGGAUGGACUCGCGGCUUAUCAGCUUGUUGGUGGGGUAGUGGCUUACCAAGGCUUUGACGGGUAGCCGGCCUGAGAGGGUGACCGGCCACAUUGGGACUGAGAUACGGCCCAGACUCCUACGGGAGGCAGCAGUGGGGAAUAUUGCACAACGGGCGGAAGCCUGAUGCAGCAACGCCGCGUGCGGGAUGACGGCCUUCGGGUUGUAAACCGCUUUCGCCUGUGACGAAGCGUGAGUGACGGUAAUGGGUAAAGAAGCACCGGCUAACUACGUG